UAAUUGUAGUUUAUUUUUUGUCGCUCUACACGCAAGACACGUGGAAAGUGCUCAACGCUGUUUGUGACUAAUAUGGUGAUUACUAAUGAUACAAAUAUUUCUGUGUUUUCUAAACACUCGCGGUGGCUGUGGAGAAGGAAACUACAGGAGACUGAAGCCGGGAUGAAGGGUAACCGCCCUAAAAAGCAGCUUUGUGUAUGUGGCAGCUCGCAUAUGAGCUCAGACAAUCUGUGUGACCCACCAGCACCCUUCCCCCAUACCUCCUCAGGGGGGCUCUGGUUCACUGCAGGAUUAAAAUCUCCCACCCUGUUCCCUCUCUGAACAAAAUGCAGUGCCAGUGUAUGUGUGUAAAUGCACACGUUAUAUCAAUAAAAUACAAAAAUAAGCUUUCUGUCAUAAAAGUGCAUAAUAAGUACUGUUAUGUUGGACGAAAACUAGCAAGUAUUUAAAAAAAAUGACAGGCAUAAUUCAUAACAGGCAUAAUUGCAUUAUACCAUAUGCACAAGUAUAGUGUCACUUUUGAGAUCUUUUUCUGUUUCAAAUACAUAUAAUGUUUAUAGUGUAUGAAAUAUCCAACACUAGAUGGCAGUAUAAUUAUGCUUUAUGAAAGCAAGACGUUUAAAAAAAAGAUUAAUCCACACUUGUUGAAAACAGUGUUAUUUAUUUAAUAAUGAAUUAAAAUGUAUAACCGUUCUUGAUUAAUUAGUAGCGCUGUUAAUGUAAAAUAAUAUAAUACAAUAAAAAUUUGUCAUUCCUGCUUAUAUGAAGAAUAUAAAGUGCUCAGAUUUGAUACAACUUUCAUUACAUUUAAUACAUUAGCAUUUUUUACCACUCCCCCCCCCCGAAACUGGAUCUUUUGUCUUGUUGGAAAAACAACCCAAUUUUCUGGGUAAAUUAACCCAACAUGUGUCCUGUCUGAUAUUUGCUCAGCCUUUGUGUUGAAACUAAAUUGUGUUUAGAGUGUAGCAACUCUGAAAUCAUGCUGAGAUUGAAUUACCUACCAGCCUUUUGCCCAGAAAGAGCAAGCUUACAUCAAAACACCAGUUGUUAGAUGCUGACUGAAUUAUUGGAAAUACUUGGUUUUUAGAUGAAUUGAUUCUAUCAUGUUAUUGUAUUUUGUGUCUUUUACUGGCAUGUCGGCUAAGUGCUGCGUUAUGUAGGAUGUGGUUACAGACAGUGUGUUGCAAAGAAGACGAGAAUCACAGCCUUGCAAAAAAUUCAGCUUUGAAACUUGGCAAAAGAAUACUACACCUACAACAUAUUUCUACUUUUCAACUUAUAAAGGAAAUCAUCAAUCUGCAUUCCAUAUCGUUAGACUUAUACCAGUGGUUGUAAUACAUAAGAACAUAUACACAGAUUAUUCAGUUUCUUAGUGUAGAACAAAUACACGAGAGCUCAUGUAGGAAAAAAGUCUUAAUUUAUGUUAAAGUGUGCUUUUAAAAUGUUUCAAUUGAAAAUGUUCAAUUAUCGUUUUGUUUGUAACAGCUACGUGAGAAACAGCUGAAGCACAAUUACAACAGCCUGCGUUCAGAAAUGACUACACUGUGAUAUUAAAGGCAAAUGUGACAAAAUAAUACAUUUCUCAGCCCUCAAGGAGUUAACAGACAAAUGGGUUGGGAAAAAAAAGACUGCACCAGAUUAGAGGACAGAUAGGAAACCACUAUUUUUCUCUGACUGGCUUACUCUAGCUUUCUGAGAAGAUCCCACGCAGUCACCGAAGAACUGCAUGAGUCAAAGUUUAUGAAAACAUUUAAACACAUCUACAUCUUCAAAAAUGGGGGUCACUGCAAACGUAACCGUCAAAUCCAACUUUUCAAGCUUUGAAAGGGAGCUGAACAUCACCACCUCAAAAGACUCUGCAUUCAACGAGAAUGCGGACAAUGUUAUUCGCUGGGCGUUAAUUGUUAUUCUUUUUAUAACAAUGGUGUCUCUUGGAUGCACAAUGGAAAUCUCAAAGAUCAGGAGUUAUCUCAUCAGACCCAAAGGAGUGGCAAUUGCAGUCGGGGCUCAAUAUGGAAUAAUGCCCCUCACAGGCUUCUGCUUCGCAAAGCUCUUCCAGCUGAAUCCUAUGGAGAGCUUAUCUGUGUUAAUUUGUGGGUGCUGCCCGGGAGGAAACCUCUCCAACAUCUUUGCUCUCGCCCUCGAGGGAGACAUGAACCUCAGUAUUUUAAUGACUGCUUGUUCCACGGCACUGGCAUUGGGAAUGAUGCCCCUGUUGCUCUACGUGUACAGCCAGGGUUUCUCACAGUUUGUUCCAUUCACUAACAUCACUAUUGCCCUGAUUAUGAUCCUGGUGCCCUGCGGUAUCGGGAUCCUGAUCAACUACAAAGUGCCCCAGUAUUCCAAGACCAUCACCAAGGUUGGGUUGGCGCUGUUGCUGAUCUCAUGUGUUGUCAUCGGUGUUCUCGCCGGUAUAUCUAAUGGAGGAAAAAUGUUCACAGCGCUAUCUCCUCAAAUUAUAGCCAUUGCUGCUUUGAUGCCACUUACUGGAUUCAUAUGUGGAUAUAUCCUGUCCACCCUGUUCAGCAUGAAUGCGCCGUAUUUGCAGACGCACUGUUUCUAUGGAGGUGGGAUGUCAGAACAUACAGCUGUGUACCACAAUCCUGAAGCUGGCCUUCUCUCCUGAGCUCAUUGGUCAGCUGUAUUUCUUUCCCGUCAUCUACAUUGUAUUCCAGAUAGUCGAGGCCCUUAUCUUGAUAGUCUUGUUCAGAUGCCAUCAGAGACUGAGACCAUCCCAAAUAGAACCACCAGAGUACGCAGCCGUGGAAAGAGCAGCUGAAGAAAAUAAUGGGCCCUCUAAAAGGGACAUCUGAGGGGAUCCUCUAGAAAGCUGAAAAUGGACUCAAGGAAUUUGGGGCAAAAGUACGUGCAUGCUGGCGCCAUGGGGAAUGAACAAUAUACAACACGUUUUAUCGAUCCUGCUUGAAAAACGUGCAUGAUGUUAAACAGUUUAGAUUAUGUUAAAAAUGGUUAACUGUAUUGUUACUUUUUUACGGCUUAGAAACACGUCAAAUAGUUUUAUAAAAUACAGUAAAAAGACAUGUUUUAAUGCUACUGAAAAAGCAGUUGCAUUCAAUAAGACUCAUCCUUAACAAACCUUAUUUGGAACACUGAUUAUCUGAGUAAAUGUAUGUAUAAUGUUCUAACUGUACAUAUUUAAGCAUGUACUGUAAUGUUGUCAUUACUGUUUCACGUUACGCGAUUUUUAUUUUGGAAAAUGACUGACCUCAUCACUAACGGUUUUUCAGUAAUUUAUUCCUUUUUGACAGCGCUACACAAACUUUAUAAAUGUUCAAAAACA